rnacentral:rRNA from 1 species
GACGAACGCUGGCGGCGUGCCUAAUACAUGCAAGUAGAACGCUGAAGAGAGGAGCUUGCUCUUCUUGGAUGAGUUGCGAACGGGUGAGUAACGCGUAGGUAACCUGCCUUGUAGCGGGGGAUAACUAUUGGAAACGAUAGCUAAUACCGCAUAACAAUGGAUGACACAUGUCAUUUAUUUGAAAGGGGCAAUUGUUCCACUACAAGAUGGACCUGCGUUGUAUUAGCUAGUAGGUGAGGUAAUGGCUCACCUAGGCGACGAUACAUAGCCGACCUGAGAGGGUGAUCGGCCACACUGGGACUGAGACACGGCCCAGACUCCUACGGGAGGCAGCAGUAGGGAAUCUUCGGCAAUAGGGGCAACCCUGACCGAGCAACGCCGCGGGAGUGAAGAAGGUUUUCGGAUCGUAAAGCUCUGUUGUAAGUCAAGAACGGGUGUGAGAGUGGAAAGUUCACACUGUGACGGUAGCUUACCAGAAAGGGACGGCUAACUACGUG